rnacentral:rRNA from 1 species
GCUCAUGAUGAACGCUAGCUACAGGCUUAACACAUGCAAGUCGAGGGGCAUCAGGAAGAAAGCUUGCUUUCUUUGCUGGCGACCGGCGCACGGGUGAGUAACACGUAUCCAACCUGCCCUUUACUCGGGGAUAGCCUUUCGAAAGAAAGAUUAAUACCCGAUGGCAUAAUGAUUCCGCAUGGUUUCAUUAUUAAAGGAUUCCGGUAAAGGAUGGGGAUGCGUUCCAUUAGGUUGUUGGUGAGGUAACGGCUCACCAAGCCUUCGAUGGAUAGGGGUUCUGAGAGGAAGGUCCCCCACAUUGGAACUGAGACACGGUCCAAACUCCUACGGGAGGCAGCAGUGAGGAAUAUUGGUCAAUGGGCGCUAGCCUGAACCAGCCAAGUAGCGUGAAGGAUGAAGGCUCUAUGGGUCGUAAACUUCUUUUAUAUAAGAAUAAAGUGCAGUAUGUAUACUGUUUUGUAUGUAUUAUAUGAAUAAGGAUCGGCUAACUCUGUGCCAGCAGCCGCGGUAAUACGGAGGAUCCGAGCGUUAUCCGGAUUUAUUGGGUUUAAAGGGAGCGUAGGUGGACUGGUAAGUCAGUUGUGAAAGUUUGCGGCUCAACCGUAAAAUUGCAGUUGAUACUGUCAGUCUUGAGUACAGUAGAGGUGGGCGGAAUUCGUGGUGUAGCGGUGAAAUGCUUAGAUAUCACGAAGAACUCCGAUUGCGAAGGCAGCUCACUGGACUGCAACUGACACUGAUGCUCGAAAGUGUGGGUAUCAAACAGGAUUAGAUACCCUGGUAGUCCACACAGUAAACGAUGAAUACUCGCUGUUUGCGAUAUACAGUAAGCGGCCAAGCGAAAGCAUUAAGUAUUCCACCUGGGGAGUACGCCGGCAACGGUGAAACUCAAAGGAAUUGACGGGGGCCCGCACAAGCGGAGGAACAUGUGGUUUAAUUCGAUGAUACGCGAGGAACCUUACCCGGGCUUAAAUUGCAGUGGAAUGAUGUGGAAACAUGUCAGUGAGCAAUCACCGCUGUGAAGGUGCUGCAUGGUUGUCGUCAGCUCGUGCCGUGAGGUGUCGGCUUAAGUGCCAUAACGAGCGUAACCCUUAUCUUUAGUUACUAACAGGUUAUGCUGAGGACUCUAGAGAGACUGCCGUCGUAAGAUGUGAGGAAGGUGGGGAUGACGUCAAAUCAGCACGGCCCUUACGUCCGGGGCUACACACGUGUUACAAUGGGGGGUACAGAAGGCAGCUAGCGGGUGACCGUAUGCUAAUCCCAAAAGCCUCUCUCAGUUCGGAUCGAAGUCUGCAACCCGACUUCGUGAAGCUGGAUUCGCUAGUAAUCGCGCAUCAGCCACGGCGCGGUGAAUACGUUCCCGGGCCUUGUACACACCGCCCGUCAAGCCAUGGGAGCCGGGGGUACCUGAAGUACGUAACCGCAAGGAUCGUCCUAGGGUAAAA